UAAUUCUUUAAAAUCAUGAUUUUUGAUUUAUCAAUAAUAAAAUGGGCUAUACAUGGGCUUGCCCAUAUGGACAUGGUCUUUAUUGGGCAUGGACAUUUUUCGGACCAUUGUCCAUUAUGGACCGUCCAACUUGACCCAUAAAAAGAAUUGUCCCUACGGACACGCCCAAUGGUCCCUGGACGGAUCAUUUGACAGUUAUACUAAUAGGAAGCUUCGUAGAAGCCGUAAGCCGAAAUAAUCUAAAGCCCUUUUAAGAUUUGGGGAUAAAUAUUUAUAUAUAAGGCUAGACAUGGGGAAAAAAA
rnacentral:sRNA from 1 species